GACGAACCGUGCGACCGUUGUUCGGAUUCACUGGGCUUAAAGGGCGCGUAGGCGGGUCCACCAGUCAGGGGUGAAAGCUCCCGGCCCAACCGGGAAAGUGCCUUUGAUACUGUGGAUCUCGAGGGGGGUAGGGGCACGCGGAACUUCCGGUGGAGCGGUGAAAUGCGUAGAUAUCGGAAGGAACGCCGGUGGCGAAAGCGGCGUGCUGGACCUCUACUGACGCUGAGGCGCGAAAGCUAGGGGAGCGAACAGG
rnacentral:rRNA from 1 species